GUCGAGGGGUAUAGUAGCAAUACUAGAGACCGGCGCACGGGUGCGUAACGCGUAUGCAAUCUACCUUUUGCAGAGGGAUAGCCCAGAGAAAUUUGGAUUAAUACCUCAUAGUAUAACGACUCGGCAUCGAGAUGUUAUUAAAGUCACAACGGCAAAAGAUGAGCAUGCGUCCCAUUAGUUAGUUGGUAAGGUAACGGCUUACCAAGACUACGAUGGGUAGGGGUCCUGAGAGGGAGAUCCCCCACACUGGUACUGAGACACGGACCAGACUCCUACGGGAGGCAGCAGUGAGGAAUAUUGGACAAUGGGCGCAAGCCUGAUCCAGCCAUGCCGCGUGCAGGAUGACGGUCCUAUGGAUUGUAAACUGCUUUUGCACAGGAAGAAACAACGCUACGUGUAGCGUCUUGACGGUACUGUGAGAAUAAGGAUCGGCUAACUCCGUGCCAGCAGCCGCGGUAAUACGGAGGAUCCAAGCGUUAUCCGGAAUCAUUGGGUUUAAAGGGUCCGUAGGCGGUCUUAUAAGUCAGUGGUGAAAUCUCCCCGCUCAACGGGGAAACGGCCAUUGAUACUGUAGGACUUGAAUUAUUAGGAAGUAACUAGAAUAUGUAGUGUAGCGGUGAAAUGCUUAGAGAUUACAUGGAAUACCAAUUGCGAAGGCAGGUUACUACUAAUGGAUUGACGCUGAUGGACGAAAGCGUGGGUAGCGAACAGGAUUAGAUACCCUGGUAGUCCACGCCGUAAACGAUGGAUACUAGCUGUUGGGCGCAAGUUCAGUGGCUAA
rnacentral:rRNA from 1 species